GACGAACGCUUGCGGCGUGCCUAAGAAAUGCAAGUCGAACGGACACUCCAGCAAUGGGGUGUUAGUGGCGAACGGUCGCGUAACACGUAGGCAACCUGCCCUGAAGUGGGGGACAACAGCCCGAAAGGGCUGCUAAUACCGCAUGGGAACAAUAGAUCGCAUGGUUUGUUGUUCAAAGGCUUCCUGCAAGGGAAGUCGCUUUAGGAUGGGCUUGCGGCCUAUCAGGUAGUUGGUGGGGUAAUGGCUCACCAAGCCGACGACGGGUAGCUGGUCUGAGAGGACGAUCAGCCGGAUUGGGACUGAGAUACGGCCCAGACUCCUACGGGGGGCAGCAAUUAGGAAUCUUGCGCAAUGGGCGAAAGCCUGACGCAGCGACGCCGCGUGCGGGAUGAAGGCCUUCGGGUCGUAAACCGCUUUUAACGGGGAAGAAGAAUGUGACGGUACCCGUUGAAUAAGCCCCGGCUAACUACGUGCCAGCAGCCGCGGUAAUACGUAGGGGGCGAGCGUUGUCCGAAGUUACUGGGCGUAAAGCGCGCGUAGGCGGUUGCCUAAGUCUGGGGUGAAAGGUUCAGGGCUUAACCCGAACAGUGCCUUGGAUACUGGGCGACUUGAGUGCCGAAGAGGAAAGCGGAAUUCCUGGUGUAGCGGUGAAAUGCGUAGAUAUCAGGAGGAACACCGAUGGCGAAGGCAGCUUUCUGGUCGGCAACUGACGCUGAGGUGCGAAAGCGUGGGGAGCGAACGGGAUUAGAUACCCCGGUAGUCCACGCCGUAAACGAUGAGUGCUAGGUGUCGGGGGUAUCGACCCCUCCGGUGCCGCCGCUAACGCAUUAAGCACUCCGCC
rnacentral:rRNA from 1 species